CGUACACGGUGGAUGCCUGGGCAGUCAGAGGCGAUGAAGGACGUACUAACUUGCGAUAAGCGCAGAUAAGGCAGUAAGAGCCGUUUGAGUCUGCGAUUUCCGAAUGGGGAAACCCAACUGCAUAAGCAGUUACUGUUAACUGAAUACAUAGGUUAACAGAGCAAACCGGGGGAACUGAAACAUCUAAGUACCCCGAGGAGAAGAAAUCAACCGAGAUUCCGGUAGUAGCGGCGAGCGAACCUGGAUUAGCCCUUAAGCACUCGGUGAAGUAGGUGAACAAGCUGGAAAGCUUGGCGAUACAGGGUGAUAGCCCCGUAACCGACGCUUCAUCGAGCGUGAAAUCGAGUAGGGCGGGACACGUGAUAUCCUGUCUGAAUAUGGGGGGACCAUCCUCCAAGGCUAAAUACUCCUGACUGACCGAUAGUGAACCAGUACCGUGAGGGAAAGGCGAAAAGAACCCCUGUGAGGGGAGUGAAAUAGAACCUGAAACCGUGUACGUACAAGCAGUAGGAGCACCUUCGUGGUGUGACUGCGUACCUUUUGUAUAAUGGGUCAGCGACUUAUAUUCAGUGGCAAGGUUAACCGUAUAGGGGAGCCGUAGCGAAAGCGAGUCUUAACUGGGCGCUCAGUCUCUGGAUAUAGACCCGAAACCGGGUGAUCUAGCCAUGGGCAGGUUGAAGGUUGAGUAACAUCAACUGGAGGACCGAACCGACUAAUGUUGAAAAAUUAGCGGAUGACUUGUGGCUAGGGGUGAAAGGCCAAUCAAACUCGGAGAUAGCUGGUUCUCCCCGAAAGCUAUUUAGGUAGCGCCUCGGACGAAUACUACUGGGGGUAGAGCACUGUUAAGGCUAGGGGGUCAUCCCGACUUACCAACCCUUUGCAAACUCCGAAUACCAGUAAGUACUAUCCGGGAGACACACGGCGGGUGCUAACGUCCGUCGUGGAGAGGGAAACAACCCAGACCGCCAGCUAAGGUCCCAAAGUAUUGCUAAGUGGGAAACGAUGUGGGAAGGCUCAGACAGCUAGGAUGUUGGCUUAGAAGCAGCCAUCAUUUAAAGAAAGCGUAAUAGCUCACUAGUCGAGUCGGCCUGCGCGGAAGAUGUAACGGGGCUAAGCAAUACACCGAAGCUGCGGCAAUGUCUUUUAGACAUUGGGUAGGGGAGCGUUCUGUAAGCCGUUGAAGGUGAAUCGUAAGGUUUGCUGGAGGUAUCAGAAGUGCGAAUGCUGACAUGAGUAACGACAAAGGGGGUGAAAAACCUCCUCGCCGGAAGACCAAGGGUUCCUGUCCAACGUUAAUCGGGGCAGGGUGAGUCGACCCCUAAGGUGAGGCCGAAAGGCGUAAUCGAUGGGAAACGGGUUAAUAUUCCCGUACUUCUGACUAUUGCGAUGGGGGGACGGAGAAGGCUAGGUGGGCCAGGCGACGGUUGUCCUGGUUCAAGUGCGUAGGCUUGAGAGUUAGGUAAAUCCGGCUCUCUCUAAGGCUGAGACACGACGUCGAGCUACUA
rnacentral:rRNA from 1 species